GGAAAGUAGCUCAGAGGCAGAGUGUUUGCCUAGUAUGCAUGAGGCCCUGUGUUCAAUCCCUAGCACCA
rnacentral:tRNA from 1 species